AAGCCUACACAUCCAAUGCAGCUUCAAGGUAGAACUGACUCUUGAUGUGGUUCUCGGCUCUUGGAUACCAGCCUAGAAAGAAUUACAAGACUCUACUUCAGACUCACUUCCUCCCUUUUAGAGAACUGGAACAAGUGAAGACUUUCCCGCAUUGUUUCCAUACAUGAGGUUUUUCUCCAGUGUGUAUUCGUUCUUACACUUCAAGAAAGUCCAAGAAGCUGGAAGUUGUUCAGUCCACAGGCCUGGAUAGCUCAGCUGGUCCCCUGUCUACACUGGAAUCCUGAAGAAGUAGCUUCCAAGAUCAGUGAGAUAGCAGCAGAUGAAAUGAACUCGGCAGCAAAAUGAGGGCAAGUAGGAAAAAAGCAAAAGCAUCCUUCUUCCAAAUCCUUUCAUGUGAGCUGCCACCAAAUGUGUAGCCCAGAUUUAGGGUGGGUCUUCUGACCUCAAAAUGAUGCAAUUAAGAAAUCCUACACGGCUGCUUGGGCUUUUUUUUUUUUCUGAUUCCAAAUAUAGCUAAAUUAAUAACCAAGAUUGGCCAUGACAAUGUUAGAGUUAUUACCAGCAGAAUCAAGAAUGACCUAGAAGACAAGCCUCCAUGCAUACCUGGGAAGGAUUAUCUAGAUUAAGAUAAUCCUUGAGAUCAUCUCUGAGGGAUUAUGUUGAUUAUAUUAAUUGAUGUGGAAUAAACAAUUAAUUGCAGGAAAGACAAUUCCCUGGACAGGGACCUGGACUGUAUAAAAUGAAGAAAAUAAACUGAAAAUUAGCAUUUA